rnacentral:tRNA from 1 species
AUUAAGAGUAGUAGAAUGUAAUACGCUGGAUUUAAGAUCCAGAGUUAGGAUUUAUUCCUUUCUUAAUG